GUCCAGGGGCAGGUAGAAGGUCAUACACAGGAGGAGGCAGGUAGCUGGGUCCAGGGGCAGGUAGAAGGUCAUACACAGGAGGAGGCAGGUAGCUGGGUCCAGGGGCAGGUAGAAGGUCAUACACAGGAGGAGACAGGUAGCUGGGUCCAGGGGCAGGCAGAAGGUCAUACACAGGAGGAGAGAGGUAGCUGGGUCCAGGGGCAGGCAGAAGGUCAUACACAGGGGGUCCAAAAAGGCAAUAUAGUACAGGCAGGGAAAAGGCUAGUAAUUUUGUCCGGGAGAUAAGGUAAUAGGUUGAUAACAGGAAAUCCGAUAAGUUAAAGUAUAGGCAGGGAAUAGGCAAAAGGUGUCGUUAGUGAGGUAGGUAAAAACUAU
ensembl:lncRNA